rnacentral:rRNA from 1 species
AGUGAACGCUGGCGGUAGGCCUAACACAUGCAAGUCGAGCGGCAGCACAGUAAGAGCUUGCUCUUACGGGUGGCGAGUGGCGGACGGGUGAGGAAUACAUCGGAAUCUACUUUUUCGUGGGGGAUAACGUAGGGAAACUUACGCUAAUACCGCAUACGACCUACGGGUGAAAGCAGGGGAUCUUCGGACCUUGCGCGAUUGAAUGGGCCGAUGUCGGAUUAGCUAGUUGGCGGGGUAAAGGCCCACCAAGGCGACGAUCCGUAGCUGGUCUGAGAGGAUGAUCAGCCACACUGGAACUGAGACACGGUCCAGACUCCUACGGGAGGCAGCAGUGGGGAAUAUUGGACAAUGGGCGCAAGCCUGAUCCAGCCAUACCGCGUGGGUGAAGAAGGCCUUCGGGUUGUAAAGCCCUUUUGUUGGGAAAGAAAAGCAGCAGGUUAAUACCCCGCUGUUUUGACGGUACCCAAAGAAUAAGCACCGGCUAACUUCGU